AGCUGUCAGGACUUCACCACUGCUUUGCAAAAUGCUUAUUGGGGCUCGCUUAGUUCUUCUUUCUGUUCAGCUCUCUUUUAUGGAGGACCAGCUAACAACAAUAACAAAAAUCAAGCCAGAGUUUUGGCAGUAUAAUAAAUAAUUUAAAAAUCCAGACAAAUCUUUGGCCAACCUGGAAAUAAGACACUAUAUAAUCUAUAAGAUGCUGUUGUGGAGUAAGCAAACCUAAUAUCGAAGGAAUAUCUAUGGGAAAAGGGAGAAGAAGUAGAUUUUGAUGCAAAUGAAGAUGCAGCAAAGGAAAUAUUUCUGAAAGAAAAAAAACAAAAGAUAAGUCGCUGCCGAUUAACAUACAGUAUUUGGAAUUAUAGUUUAAAAUUGCUCUGCAGGGUAAUAGUUAAUGUGGUGGCCUGGCUUUUCCUUAUGCUAAUCCUGUUAAUAAAUAACAGGAUUUGUGUGCCCAACUACUGCAUAAAUGCUCUCUAAUUCUACAGCAUUGCCCAUGGCAAAGAGUGUGAACCUAUGGCUAUUACAUGAUAAUGAAAUCCAAGAAGCAGAUGCUAUAUAGGUGGAAAGAUUCAGCACUACACUCAAUGGAGGACUGGUAAAGAUGGUGGAACUACCUUAAAUGGCUAAAUUGACUCUAGUUGGAGAAGACAGUUAGCUACGUUUAUUACGACUGGAAACCCCUUAUGAACUUUUUGCAUAAAUGAGGAAAAGUAAAGAUAGUUAUGUUGUAACCAUAAAGUAAUUUAAUUGUAUUCAUAACUGCUGCAAAGAAGAUUGGAAGCUAUAGCUUUUUCUUUCUUUUCUAGUUUUCUUUUACUUCUUUUAUUAUUAUUUUUUGCAUUUUUAGUUUUCUCCAUAUGUCUUUUUUACUUUAUAUUAGUUUGUAUUGGUUUCUAUUUUCCUUUUAAAAUAUAAGUUGAAUUUC